GGCAGAGGGGAGUUUUCUUUUCCAUGAGUAAUCAGCCAUUCAGCCCGGCUGUAAUGUUUGCUUGUGUCAGCAGUAUCUCUGUGUGCACUGGAGCAGGGCAGAAUGCGAUGGCUCGGAUUCAGCAGACUGAAUGGAAAGUGCCAGAGGCCCUACAGCGCAACAGCAGAUGGGAAUGGCAGUGUGAAUAUCUCUCUCUCUGUCUCUCUUUCUCUCUCUCUCUCUCUCUGUUAUCACACGCCAUCUCAUCCCACUGAGCAUUGUCAGCCACUCCCUUCACC
ensembl:lncRNA